rnacentral:rRNA from 1 species
GAUCCUGGCUCAGAUUGAACGCUGGCGGCAGGCUUAACACAUGCAAGUCGAGCGGGGAAGGGUAGCUUGCUACCUAACCUAGCGGCGGACGGGUGAGUAAUGCUUAGGAAUCUGCCUAUUAGUGGGGGACAACAUUCCGAAAGGAAUGCUAAUACCGCAUACGCCCUACGGGGGAAAGGCAGGGGAUCUUCGGACCUUGCGCUAAUAGAUGAGCCUAAGUCAGAUUAGCUAGUUGGUGGGGUAAAGGCCU